rnacentral:rRNA from 1 species
GUGCCAGCAGCCGCGGUAAUACAGAGGGUGCAAGCGUUGUUCGGAAUUACUGGGCGUAAAGCGCGUGUAGGCGGUUUGGUAAGUCAGAUGUGAAAUCCCUCAGCUUAACUGAGGAACUGCAUCUGAUACUGUCAAACUUGAGUAUCGGAGGGGAUGGCAGAAUUCCUGGUGUAGAGGUGAAAUUCGUAGAUAUCAGGAGGAAUACCUGUGGCGAAGGCGGCCAUCUGGAAGAUAACUGACGCUGAGACGCGAAAGCGUGGGGAGCAAACAGGAUUAGAUACCCUGGUAGUCC